UGGGGAAUUUUGGACAAUGGGCGAAAGCCUGAUCCAGCAAUGCCGCGUGUGUGAAGAAGGCCUUCGGGUUGUAAAGCACUUUUGUCCGGAAAGAAAUCCUUGGCUCUAAUACAGUCGGGGGAUGACGGUACCGGAAGAAUAAGCACCAGCUAACUACGUGCCAGCAGCCGCGGUAAUACGUAGGGUGCAAGCGUUAAUCGGAAUUACUGGGCGUAAAGCGUGCGCAGGCGGUUUGCUAAGACCGAUGUGAAAUCCCCGGGCUCAACCUGGGAACUGCAUUGGUGACUGGCAGGCUAGAGUAUGGCAGAGGGGGGUAGAAUUCCACGUGUAGCAGUGAAAUGCGUAGAGAUGUGGAGGAAUACCGAUGGCGAAGGCAGCCCCCUGGGCCAAUACUGACGCUCAUGCACGAAAGCGUGGGGAGCAAAACAGGAUUAGAUACCCUGGUAGUCCACGCCCUAAAACGAUGUCAAACUAGUUGUUGGGGAUUCAUUUCCUUAGUAACGUAGCUAACGCGUGAAGUUGACCGCCUGGGGAGUACGGUCGC
rnacentral:rRNA from 1 species